GAUGAACGCUGGCGGCGUGCUUAACACAUGCAAGUCGAACGGGAAAUAUUUCAUUGAGACUUCGGUGGAUUUGAUCUAUUUCUAGUGGCGGACGGGUGAGUAACGCGUGGGUAACCUGCCUUAUACAGGGGGAUAACAGUCAGAAAUGGCUGCUAAUACCGCAUAAGCGCACAGAGCUGCAUGGCUCAGUGUGAAAAACUCCGGUGGUAUAAGAUGGACCCGCGUUGGAUUAGCUUGUUGGUGGGGUAACGGCCCACCAAGGCGACGAUCCAUAGCCGGCCUGAGAGGGUGAACGGCCACAUUGGGACUGAGACACGGCCCAGACUCCUACGGGAGGCAGCAGUGGGGAAUAUUGCACAAUGGGGGAAACCCUGAUGCAGCGACGCCGCGUGAAGGAAGAAGUAUCUCGGUAUGUAAACUUCUAUCAGCAGGGAAGAUAGUGACGGUACCUGACUAAGAAGC
rnacentral:rRNA from 1 species